ensembl:lncRNA
UGUGGAAGAGCUACUCUGCUAAUUUUCAGGUUGGCAUCUGGGUUUUCCGUGUGAGGAAGCUCUCAGAAUAGAAUAGAGUGUGAUCACCACUGAACCCUGGGAAGAGCGCUUCACACCUUGAACUGUGAGGCUCCCCAGCAGGCUGGCCUGUGACCUCCUGGGCACCAUCACCUUCUGCUGCUUCCUGAACUGGCCAUGUUUUCUCCCUCUGCCUUCAUCUCCUCUGCCUUUAUCGCCUCGUCUUUUGUGGGGGUGCCAGUACCUUGUGGUCUGUGCUGGGCCAAGGAAGACGCACCUUUGCACUUCUGAACCCUACUGGCCACCUGAUGACACGUCAUCCUCCCGUGAUCGUUAACUCUGGCCCUGAUGGGAGAGAGCUGUGUUCACCCACCACUGAUGUACUCUCUUUUAGCUAAAGAAGGAAUCCAUUCUAAUCAUGCUUUUUAGGUGGCUGGAUUUACCAAACAGAAAUACACGAAUCCCAGUUAAAUUUGAAUUUUAGGGAAACAAUGAAAACUUUUUUUUUUCUUUUGUUUAGUAGAAGUCCAUCUCCUGCAAUACUUGGGAUGUACUUAUACUAAAAAUUAUUCACUGAAAACCAAAUUUAACUAGAUGUCUUGUGUUUUACCUGACAGGCUUACUCCCAAGGUAAAGGGGUUCCCAUUUUAGCUUCCCAUCCUAGGAGUGGCACUUUGUCUUAGAAAGGAAUGUAUUUAGUCAUCAAAAUAAGGUCAGACUUACCUGCACGCCAGCCAUGACUUGUGACAUAUUGAUCACAUGUUGAAAUGAUAAUACUUUUUGUUUACUGGAUUAAAAUAUAAUUUGAAAAUUAAUUUCAUCUGCUUCUUUAUGUUUUUAAAUGUGGUUACUAGAAAAUUUAAGGUAUUAUAUGGAGCUUGAGUUUGUAGUCCAUAGUACACUUCACUGGACAGCUUUGGCCUAGAGCAAAAGCAAUGCUGGGGGACCUAACGACCAUCGGGCUGGGAGUGGGGCACCCCUCUCCCCAGAAAGAGUUAG